rnacentral:rRNA from 1 species
UACGUAGGGACCGAGCGUUAUCCGGAUUCAUUGGGCGUAAAGAGCUCGUAGGCGGCUAUUCAAGUCGAACGUGAAAUCUCGGAGCUCAACUCCGAGCCUGCGUUCGAUACUGGGUAGCUAGAGUCUGGUAGGGGGAGUCUGGAAUUCCUGGUGUAGCGGUGGAAUGCGCAGAUAUCAGGAGGAACACCGGUGGCGAAGGCGGGUCUCUGGGCCGAUACUGACGCUGAGGAGCGAAAGCGUGGGGAGCGAACAGG